CGUGGCCUCUCGUCGCCGUCCUCCAGCUCCUCACCAGCAGAGCAUCAGGGGGGCACCAGCACCAUGUCCCGCUCUCCAGCCUCCGGCCAGCCCCGGGACUUUCUUCACAGCAGCCCCUGCGCCUCCCGCAUCCUGCCAGCACACCUUCAGGGGGAUCGGAGCGUGCACAUCUGCCGAGGAGCAAGCAGGAUGCUGCUUUUCCAGUGCUUUAGAAACCUCCUUUGGAAAUGCACCCCGCAGAAGGACUUGGGGACAGUUCGCUGCUUUUCAGUUCCAUGAUUUCUCAAACCUCAGCCCCGAAUUUUAUAAGGGAGCAUCUCCUACAGCAGCCCCACACACACUCUUACAUGCCAGAGCAGCUUUGCACAGGAGCCGAGGGGCUGCAGCCUUGCAGAUGUGUUUGUGUGCAAGUGUUGGUCUGGCCAUGGUCUGACUCAGCCCAUCCAAGCUGGCAAGGGAUCACACGUCCCUGUGUGCUGCUGGGACCAGCCUACAGCACCCUCCAUACCGGAGCUUUUCCUUCAUCCUCCGUGGUGGGAAUUGCUCCUUCCAGUGCAAGACACCGUUACAUGCUGCUCCGAGUGUUUUGGGAAGCCCAUGAAUGCAGAAACCAUGCUACAAAAAUGCAGCAUGAUGCUCUCAACCAGGGGUCCCAGGAGAGGUGCGGGAAACCAAACGGAGCCGGUGGGUGUUUGAGACACAGGAACCUCUGCAGUGAGAACCUCACUGCUUGACUCCAUCAGCCCCAGCGCUCCUGGCUCCUCAUCUCCAGUUCUUCAUCAAGAGCCUAAGCAAGGUCCCAUCACCCCGUCCCACGUGUCCCAGGCUCUUAGGGGUUACCUGGGUGCACAAGGGGGGGACCAGCCCCAUCUCCAGGACCGAGCUUGUGGGCUCCUCUGGGAUUUAAGCACAGCAGAAACCUGGAGCAGAGGGACGGGUAUCACCCCACGGGUCAAAAAAAGCGAGGAUCCAAGUGCCCCGUAGCAUCUCCUUGGCAAUGAGCAAAUGCGCUCUGCUCAGCCCUCCAAAAAGUACUAAAGAAAGGCAAAACACGCUCAUGUAAAAUCAUGCAAACCGAUACAAUGGCGCUGCGAUCCUGCUUGGCUCUCGACCAGCUGGAGUUUCACGAGGAAUCAAUUUUAGAUUAAAAAAGGUCAAUAUAGUACGUUGAGGCGCUUCCCUGGGAGGCGAGGAGAUAACUUCAUUUGUGAGCGGGUGGGAAAGGAGCCCAACGCUUUGUCUCUUGCUCUGCUCAUAACUCACCACCCUCCAAGACUCCACACUCCUUGGCUGUUACUCGUUUUGCAAGAAAAAACUCAGAUGACCAAAAUUAUGGAGGAAAUGUUAGGAGGAAAUUGAAUCAGGGUCAUGUUAUAUAUAUAUAACCCCCGGAUGAGCAUCAGUGAUGCUCCCGGUGCAGCCAGCAAAUAGUUAUUUGGGGGAAGAAGGAGGCACAAAGCUGCUGCAGGGCAGCCAGGCUGGGGAUGCUGUUUGAUGCCUUAAAAAAAGGCAAAACCAAGGUAAAAAGGGGGUUUUAGUUUAACAGAACACACGCAGAGGUCGUCACAGUUUUGCAGCCCCAAGCCCUGGCAUUGGGUUGGGUUUUUCCUCCCUUCUUUUCCUUUUGGGCUCUUGGGGAUGAUAUUUGUCUUUCUUUUGGGCUGAAACCAUUGUCUGGGCUUGGUGGUGGUUCGGAAUGUGAACUUUGGAGGCGAAUUUAUACCAAAGCGCCGAAUGUCUGCGUGGGGAUGUCCCUGGGAGAGGCUGGUGGGGACGCGCCAGCCCGCGGGAGCUGCUGCGGAGACAAAGCCAAGGGGGAACAUCUUUCACCCGCUCAGGCAGUAAUUAACGGCACUAAGAGACAAAAUGAUGGGUUUUGGCAUGUUUAUUGGCAAAGAAAUCUGCGGAGGGGCCGCAUCUAUGUGAGUUACGGUGACGGGGAAAAGAUAUUUAUUCCGAUGCAUUAUGUAAAUCAGUGCGGGAUAAACACAUGCGAAAAUCAUCGGCACAGGUCAUGCGUAAUUAAGCCAGUUGGGUAAUUGCCCUUAAUGGGGAGCGGGGAUGGGGUUUGUGCUUACCUCAGGUUAAAUCCCUCCAGAGGCUGAUGGGUGGCUGGAUUUUGGCUGAAGAGCCAUGAUACACACAGCUCAAGUGAUGGGAUUCAUGCUAACAAGCCCCUAGUUAACCAGUGGCACGGGGCUGUGCUGGGCCAGAGCAGCCUGGGGACAGGACACCCCAGCCCUGGGGCAAGGGAUGUCACAGCCUUGGGAUCAAGGAUGUCCCAUCCCUGGAGUCAAGGAUGCUCCAGGAAACCCCAGUGUCAGCCCUGGACUCAGGACACCCCAUUGAUGGGGGGUGCUCUCUGUGAUGGGGACCCCAAAUCCAGGCACCAGACUCGUGCUGGGGGUGCUGUGCUGCUGGCCUUGACCCUGACCCCAGCCCUCCUGGCUUCACCCGGGAGCAGCCCCGAGUGUCACUUGGUGUCACCCCACACGAGGCAUCUGCCACCAAGGGACCAAGGGAAGCGCCACAAUGGAGCAAACCAAACCAAACCACCUCCAGUAAUAACCACACAUCUAUUUCACCAACCUUCCCCCAAUUUUAACAUAAUUAGCCGUCAGCCUGCCAAUCAACGUCAGCUCCCGCGGAUCGCCGUUAAUGGAUCGCUGUUCAGCCGGCUGUUAUUGAAUCGAUAUAGAAAUUAAAAUGCGUUCACUCCAUUCUUCCUCAGCUGUCAUCUUAUCUCGGCGUCUAGCGAAGAGUGCGGCAGAUUACAGAAUCCAUCAUCAUUUAGCCUUUGUAGCUUGCAAAAUUCAUAAUUAACAAAAAAUUUCUAUUCACUUGCUCAUGUAAUUUAAUUAGUUUUCCAUUAAAUAGAGACUAAAUAUCA